GGAGGAGUCGCGUAGCUGGCCUAGCGCACACGACUGGAAAUCGUGCCACCCCAAAAAGGGUGACGUGGGUUCGAAUCCCACCUCCUCCGCCA
rnacentral:tRNA from 1 species